UAUAAGUGUGUGUGUGUGUGUGUGUGUGUGUGUGUGUAUGCCCUUGUUUUUACAGGAGAAUCACAUCCUUCACACCAUCCAUCUGUCCAACGUACACAGAGCAUGUCAUGGGUCCUGUCUCCCAAAAGUACUGUGCUAAGGACUGCAUGUGCAUUACCCAGCUGAAUACUUCUAAUAACCUUAUGAGAGAGAUAACAGCAUCCCCAUUAUAUAGACAAAGAAGGAAAAACUUUAAAA
rnacentral:lncRNA from 1 species